rnacentral:rRNA from 1 species
UACGGGGGGGGGCAAGCGUUGUUCGGACUUACUGGGCGUAAAGGGCUCGUAGGUGGCCAACUAAGUCAGACGUGAAAUCCCUCAGCUUAACUGGGGAACUGCGUCUGAUACUGGAUGGCUUGAGUUUGGGAGAGGGAUGCGGAAUUCCAGGUGUAGCGGUGAAAUGCGUAGAUAUCUGGAGGAACACCGGUGGCGAAGGCGGCAUCCUGGACCAUUACUGACGCUGAUCCGCGAAAGCUAGGGGAGCAAACGGG